CACUAUGCCUAGCCCUAAACAUCGAUAAAAAUUUACCUUCUUUAUCCGCCCGGGUACUACGAGCGUUAGCUUAAAACCCAAAGGACUUGGCGGUGCUUCAGAUCCACCUAGAGGAGCCUGUUCUAGAACCGAUAAUCCCCGUUAAACCUCACCUUUCCUUGUAUUUUCCGCCUAUAUACCGCCGUCGUCAGCUUACUCUGUGAGGAGCUCGUAGUAUGCACAAUUGGCUUAGCCCAAAACGCCAGGUCGAGGUGUAGCGUAUGGAAAGGGAAGAAAUGGGCUACAUUCAAUAGCUAUAAUGAAUACGAAUGAUAUCAUGAAAAAAAUAUCUGAAGGAGGAUUUAGCAGUAAGCAGAGAAUAGAGUGCUCUGCUGAAGCUGGCCCUGAAGCGCGUACACACCGCCCGUCACUCUCCCCGAAAACAAAUCAACACAUCACUAAUCAACCAAAGCCAUAGAGGGGAGGCAAGUCGUAA
rnacentral:rRNA from 1 species